rnacentral:rRNA from 1 species
AGUGAACGCUGGCGGUAGGCCUAACACAUGCAAGUCGAACGGCAGCACAGUAAGAGCUUGCUCUUACGGGUGGCGAGUGGCGGACGGGUGAGGAAUACAUCGGAAUCUACUUUUUCGGGGGGGAUAACGUAGGGACACUUACGCUAAUACCGCAUACGUCCUACGGGUGAAAUCGGGGGAUCUUCGGACCUUGCGCGAUUGAAUGAGCCGAUGUCGGAUUAGCUAGUUGGCGGGGUAAAGGCCCACCAAGGCGACGAUCCGUAGCUGGUCUGAGAGGAUGAUCAGCCACACUGGAACUGAGACACGGUCCAGACUCCUACGGGAGGCAGCAGUGGGGAAUAUUGGGCAAUGGGCGAAAGCCUGAUCCAGCCAUGCCGCGUGGGUGAAGAAGGCCUUCGGAUUGUAAAGCCCUUUUGUUGGGAAAGAAAAGCAGCAGGUUAAUACCCCGCUGUUCUGACGGUACCCAAAGAAUAAGCCCCGGCUAACUUCGUG